rnacentral:rRNA from 1 species
GUAGUAGCAAAUACUCUAGCGAGGCCCUGGAGGACUGAGGUGGAGAAGGGUUUCGUGUGAACAGCCGUUGCACACGAGUCAGUCGAUCCUAAGCCCUAGGAGAAAUCCGAUGAAUGGCGCCGGCGGCCCGUCGGGCGAAAGGGAAUCCGGUACCCAUUCCGGAACCCGGUCGCGGAACCGUCUCACGUCGUGCCCCCCGGCCGGUAGCUCGUCGGGGUAACCCAAAAUGUCCCGGAGAAGCCGUCGGGAGGUCUGGGAAGAGUUUUCUUUUCUGUUUGAGCGUUCGGGUUCCCUGGAAUUGCCUAGCGCAGAGAGAGGGAAUGGAGCGCGUAGAGCACCGCAGUUGCGGCGGUGUCCAGACACACCCCUCGGACCUUGAAAAUCCGGGCAAGGGCCACGUGGAGGUUCGCGCCGGUUCGUACCCAUAUCCGCAGCAGGUCUCCAAGGUGAGCAGCCUCUAGACGGUAGAUUAAUGUAGGUAAGGGAAGUCGGCAAAUUGGAUCCGUAACUUCGGGAUAAGGAU